AACGAACGCUGGCGGCAUGCCUAACACAUGCAAGUCGAACGAGACCUUCGGGUCUAGUGGCGCACGGGUGCGUAACGCGUGGGAACCUGCCCUUAGGUUCGGAAUAACUCCCCGAAAGGGGUGCUAAUACCGGAUAAUUUCUUCGGACCAAAGAUUUAUCGCCUUUGGAUGGGCCCGCGUUGGAUUAGCUAGUUGGUAGGGUAAAAGCCUACCAAGGCGACGAUCCAUAGCUGGUCUGAGAGGAUGAUCAGCCACACUGGGACUGAGACACGGCCCAGACUACUACGGGAGGCAGCAGUGGGGAAUAUUGGACAAUGGGCGAAAGCCUGAUCCAGCAAGGCCGCGUGAGUGAUGAAGGCCUUAGGGUUGUAAAGCUCUUUUACCCGGGAUGAUAAUGACAGUACCGGGAGAAUAAGCUCCGGCUAACUCCGUG
rnacentral:rRNA from 1 species